rnacentral:lncRNA from 1 species
AAAACCUGAAUAAGAAUUACUAAAAUCUCAAGGUAUCGGAACCCGAAUACAGCAAAUUGCUUGGAUCGAUUAGUUCUUCAUGAGAAUUCUUGCCAAAGCUUUCAAGUAUUUCGUGAAUAGUCAAUUAUCCUCAUGUUAUGCAGCUACUAGGUAUAUGGAAAACAAGGAAUUUGGUUUACAACCCAACUGGAUCGAAAACAUAACUCAAGCCCAAAACUAAUGAUCCAAAACUUAAAUAAAACUAAUGCUGCAACUUCAACGAAUUUUCUGGCCCUGUUACAGUCUAAUUCAGCUCUCUACUUCUGAACAAAAGUUGUAGAUCUUUUUCUUAGCUUUCCAUCGACUGGUAGCACGUCUCAAUCCGAUACUCCUAGCUCAAGAUAUGAUUUUUCUCGCGAAAGCUGCUAAUGCUGAAAAUUAAAUACGAAAAUUAAAUAAGUGCAAAAAUAACAUAAAUUAUGAAAACACAUUAAAACAUAAAAAUAAUCAAAGCAAACCGAAGAAAUGCUUAAGUACAAACAUGAAAGAACGUGCAUCAAAAUGCACUGAUCAAAUUCCCCCACACUUGAACUUUUGCACUCCGAGCAAAAUGAAAAAGAAAACAAAACACAGACACAUCAACAGUUACUCAUUCUAGGCUAUAAGUCAUCUUCGGUUAAGUUUGCAUCGAUAAGUACUAAUCUUGCACACUAAGGAUAUCGUAGGAAGACUAAUCCACAAUUGUGCAGUCAUAAACCUCCUGAAUACACAAAUCAACUCGAAUCAUGUUAUUAUAUUAAAGCCUAACUUAC